rnacentral:rRNA from 1 species
UCGAGUGGCGAACGGGUGAGUAACACGUGAGUAACCUGCCCUUGACUUUGGGAUAACUUCAGGAAACUGGGGCUAAUACCGGAUAGGAGCUCCUGCUGCAUGGUGGGGGUUGGAAAGUUUCGGCGGUUGGGGAUGGACUCACGGCUUAUCAGCUUGUUGGUGGGGUAGUGGCUUACCAAGGCUUUGACGGGUAGCCGGCCUGAGAGGGUGACCGGCCACAUUGGGACUGAGAUACGGCCCAGACUCCUACGGGAGGCAGCAGUGGGGAAUAUUGCACAAUGGGCGGAAGCCUGAUGCAGCAACGCCGCGUGCGGGAUGACGGCCUUCGGGUUGUAAACCGCUUUCGCCUGUGACGAAGCGUGAGUGACGGUAAUGGGUAAAGAAGCACCGGCUAACUACGUGCCAGCAGCCGCGGUGAUACGUAGGGUGCGAGCGUUGUCCGGAUUUAUUGGGCGUAAAGGGCUCGUAGGUGGUUGAUCGCGUCGGAAGUGUAAUCUUGGGGCUUAACCCUGAGCGUGCUUACGAUACGGGUUGACUUGAGGAAGGUAGGGGAGAAAUGGAAUUCCUGGUGGAGCGGUGGAAUGCGCA